ACAUGCAGGUCGAACGAAGCACUUUAUUUGAUUUCCUUCGGGACUGAUUAUUUUGUGACUGAGUGGCGGACGGGUGAGUAACGCGUGGGUAACCUGCCUUGUACAGGGGGAUAACAGUUGGAAACGGCUGCUAAUACCGCAUAAGCGCACAGCAUCGCAUGAUGCAGUGUGAAAAACUCCGGUGGUAUAAGAUGGACCCGCGUUGGAUUAGCUAGUUGGUGAGGUAACGGCCCACCAAGGCGACGAUCCAUAGCCGACCUGAGAGGGUGACCGGCCACAUUGGGACUGAGACACGGCCCAAACUCCUACGGGAGGCAGCAGUGGGGAAUAUUGCACAAUGGGCGAAAGCCUGAUGCAGCGACGCCGCGUGAGCGAAGAAGUAUUUCGGUAUGUAAAGCUCUAUCAGCAGGGAAGAUAAUGACGGUACCUGACUAAGAAGCACCGGCUAAAUACGUGCCAGCAGCCGCGGUAAUACGUAUGGUGCAAGCGUUAUCCGGAUUUACUGGGUGUAAAGGGAGCGCAGGCGGUGCGGCAAGUCUGAUGUGAAAGCCCGGGGCUCAACCCCGGUACUGCAUUGGAAACUGUCGUACUAGAGUGUCGGAGGGGUAAGCGGAAUUCCUAGUGUAGCGGUGAAAUGCGUAGAUAUUAGGAGGAACACCAGUGGCGAA
rnacentral:rRNA from 1 species